rnacentral:rRNA from 1 species
UACGUAGGCAGCGAGCGUUGUUCGGAGUUACUGGGCGUAAAGAGUGCGUAGGCGGUUUUCUAAGUUUGGUGUGAAAUCUCCCGGCUCAACUGGGAGGGUGCGCCGAAGACUGGAAGGCUUGAGUAUGGGAGAGGUAAGCGGAAUUCCUGGUGUAGCGGUGAAAUGCGUAGAUAUCAGGAGGAACACCUGCGGUGUAGACGGCUUACUGGACCAUAACUGACGCUGAGGCACGAAAGCGUGGGUAGCAAACAGG